GACAGAGGGGGCGAGCGUUGUCCGGAGUCACUGGGCGUAAAGCGCGCGCAGGCGGCAACCUAAGUGUCGUGUGAAAGCCCCCGGCUCAACCGGGGGAGGCCAUGGCAAACUGGGUCGCUCGAGCUGCGGAGAGGCACCUCGAAUUGCCGGUGUAGCGGUGAAAUGCGUAGAGAUCGGCAGGAAGACCAAGGGGGAAGCCAGGGGGCUGGCCGCAGGCUGACGCUGAGGCGCGACAGAGUGGGGAGCAAACCGG
rnacentral:rRNA from 1 species